UACAGAGGUCUCAAGCGUUGUUCGGAUUCAUUGGGCGUAAAGGGUGCGUAGGUGGCGCCAUAAGUCAGGUGUGAAAUCUCCCGGCUCAACCGGGAGGGUGCGCCGAAUACUGAGUGACUAGAGUGCGGGAGAGGAAAGUGGAAUUCCUGGUGUAGCGGUGAAAUGCGUAGAUAUCAGGAGGAACACCGGUGGUGUAGACGGCUUUCUGGACCGUAACUGACGCUGAGACACGGAAAGCCGUGGGUAGCAAACAGG
rnacentral:rRNA from 1 species